AAGAUGAUAAGUCCUAAAUAGGACGAAACGCGCGUCCUGGAU
rnacentral:hammerhead_ribozyme from 1 species